rnacentral:rRNA from 1 species
UUGAACGCUGGCGGCAGGCCUAACACAUGCAAGUCGAGCGGUAGCACAGAGAGCUUGCUCUCGGGUGACGAGCGGCGGACGGGUGAGUAAUGUCUGGGAAACUGCCUGAUGGAGGGGGAUAACUACUGGAAACGGUAGCUAAUACCGCAUAACGUCGCAAGACCAAAGUGGGGGACCUUCGGGCCUCAUGCCAUCAGAUGUGCCCAGAUGGGAUUAGCUAGUAGGUGGGGUAACGGCUCACCUAGGCGACGAUCCCUAGCUGGUCUGAGAGGAUGACCAGCCACACUGGAACUGAGACACGGUCCAGACUCCUACGGGAGGCAGCAGUGGGGAAUAUUGCACAAUGGGCGCAAGCCUGAUGCAGCCAUGCCGCGUGUGUGAAGAAGGCCUUCGGGUUGUAAAGCACUUUCAGCGGGGAGGAAGGCGGUGAGGUUAAUAACCUCAUCGAUUGACGUUACCCGCAGAAGAAGCACCGGCUAACUCCGUGCCAGCAGCCGCGGUAAUACGGAGGGUGCAAGCGUUAAUCGGAAUUACUGGGCGUAAAGCGCACGCAGGCGGUCUGUCAAGUCGGAUGUGAAAUCCCCGGGCUUAACCUGGGAACUGCAUUCGAAACUGGCAGGCUAGAGUCUUGUAGAGGGGGGUAGAAUUCCAGGUGUAGCGGUGAAAUGCGUAGAGAUCUGGAGGAAUACCGGUGGCGAAGGCGGCCCCCUGGACAAAGACUGACGCUCAGGUGCGAAAGCGUGGGGAGCAAACAGGAUUAGAUACCCUGGUAGUCCACGCCGUAAACGAUGUCGAUUUGGAGGUUGUGCCCUUGAGGCGUGGCUUCCGGAGCUAACGCGUUAAAUCGACCGCCUGGGGAGUACGGCCGCAAGGUUAAAACUCAAAUGAAUUGACGGGGGCCCGCACAAGCGGUGGAGCAUGUGGUUUAAUUCGAUGCAACGCGAAGAACCUUACCUGGUCUUGACAUCCACAGAACUUAGCAGAGAUGCUUUGGUGCCUUCGGGAACUGUGAGACAGGUGCUGCAUGGCUGUCGUCAGCUCGUGUUGUGAAAUGUUGGGUUAAGUCCCGCAACGAGCGCAACCCUUAUCCUUUGUUGCCAGCGGUCCGGCCGGGAACUCAAAGGAGACUGCCAGUGAUAAACUGGAGGAAGGUGGGGAUGACGUCAAGUCAUCAUGGCCCUUACGACCAGGGCUACACACGUGCUACAAUGGCAUAUACAAAGAGAAGCGACCUCGCGAGAGCAAGCGGACCUCAUAAAGUAUGUCGUAGUCCGGAUUGGAGUCUGCAACUCGACUCCAUGAAGUCGGAAUCGCUAGUAAUCGUAGAUCAGAAUGCUACGGUGAAUACGUUCCCGGGCCUUGUACACACCGCCCGUCACACCAUGGGAGUGGGUUGCAAAAGAAGUAGGUAGCUUAACCUUCGGGAGGGCGCUUACCACUUUGUGAUUCAUGACUGGGGUG